rnacentral:tRNA from 1 species
UCCAGCGUAGCUCAAUCGGUAGAGCAUCCGGCUGUUAACCGGAGGGUCGCAGGUUCGAGCCCUGCCGCUGGAG